rnacentral:rRNA from 1 species
ACGGGUGAGUAACACGUAUCCAACCUGCCGUCUACUCUUGGACAGCCUUCUGAAAGGAAGAUUAAUACAAGAUGGCAUCAUGAGUCCGCAUGUUCACAUGAUUAAAGGUAUUCCGGUAGACGAUGGGGAUGCGUUCCAUUAGAUAGUAGGCGGGGUAACGGCCCACCUAGUCUUCGAUGGAUAGGGGUUCUGAGAGGAAGGUCCCCCACAUUGGAACUGAGACACGGUCCA